rnacentral:misc_RNA from 1 species
CAUCGACUGCCUCGUCGACGCCGCCGACCAGGUGGCUGUAGUCACUGGAGGACGACCGACGCUGGUGAAGGGGAGAGAGCAGGGGAGCAACUCAAGCAUUUGCUGUUUGACAGACUCGAGGUAGGAGCUAGCCACGGAAAGGGAAGAAGCAGAGGCAGUGAUGACGGUUUUGAUUGGCCACCGCCUCUUAUUGAAGAACACAGCUGGGACUUCGCGCAGGGCUGGAGUGCUACUUCCAGUAUUGCUUGCAGGUCGAGGAGUUGAUGAGAUGCAACGGCGGAAUGCCAAGAUUCUAGGAGUUGGGAAGACCACUUCUCAACAAGAAAUAAAGAAGGCGUAUCACAAAUUGGCUCUGCGCCUCCACCCAGAUAAGAAUCCUGGGGAUGAGGCAUUGGUGGGAGAAGCAGCAAACAAUCUUCAGGAGUACUUCAGAACAAUGUACAAGAAAGUCAUGGAGGCUGACAUUGAAGAAUUUGAAGCUAAAUAUAGAGGGUCAGAUUAUGAGAAAACGGACUUGAAGGACCUCUACACAAAAUAUAAGGGCAACAUGAAC